GAGGAAUAUUGGUCAAUGGGCGAGAGCCUGAACCAGCCAAGUAGCGUGCAGGAUGACGGCCCUAUGGGUUGUAAACUGCUUUUGUAUGGGGAUAAAGUCAAUCACGUGUGAUCGUUUGCAGGUACCAUACGAAUAAGGACCGGCUAAUUCCGUGCCAGCAGCCGCGGUAAUACGGAAGGUCCGGGCGUUAUCCGGAUUUAUUGGGUUUAAAGGGAGCGUAGGCUGGAGAUUAAGUGUGUUGUGAAAUGUAGACGCUCAACGUCUGACUUGCAGCGCAUACUGGUUUCCUUGAGUACGCACAAUGUUGGCGGAAUUCGUCGUGUAGCGGUGAAAUGCUUAGAUAUGACGAAGAACUCCGAUUGCGAAGGCAGCUGACGGGAGCGCAACUGACGCUGAAGCUCGAAGGUGCGGGUAUCGAACAGGAUUAGAUACCCUGGUAGUCCGCACAGUAAACGAUGGAUGCCCGCUGUUGGUACCUGGUAUCAGCGGCUAAGCGAAAGCAUUAAGCAUCCCACCUGGGGAGUACGCCGGCAACGGUG
rnacentral:rRNA from 1 species